UUACGGCCGUAUCACAUUGAAACACCGGUUCUCGUAUGAUCAGCGAAAUUAAGCAACGUCAAGCCUGGUCAGUAACUAGAUGGGUGACCAUUUGGGCACACCAGGUGCGGUAAG